CUGCCAUUUUUGGCACUUCGGCAUUGGCUUCAUUUUACAGCCCCAGAGGUUGCCGCUUGAUGAGGAGACGGGCAGCGAGAGGAAGUAGAGUGUGGGUGAAAUUGUGUAAACGUGACGAACUGAGUAGCGAUGUGUGCGCAGUGUUUACAAACAAAUGUGUAGCUUGUGUCUGAGAUUAUCUACCCGACAGUUUAUGUCAGGAUACUCAUGCUACAUAUUUUCUACGAGCAACUGAAGACACUUCUACUCGAAGUUUGUUGUACAGUUGUUCAAGUUUGUUUGUUAUUAGCUCAUUAGCCGAACGUGUGUUUGUUAGCAUUCAUUAGCAAAGUGAAUGGACUCAUAGCCACUAUAACUAACACACGAGUGAUUUAUUAGCAUUCAUUAGCACAGUGAAUGGAUUUAUAGCCACUGUGUAGCUAACCCAGCUUAUGCUAAAGGCUUUAGUUAAUCGUUUUCGACGUGGAAACCCUGAGGAUUUAUCGGACAGUGCGAUGAGCUAUUAAGUCAUCGCUCAGAGAUACUUUUCACUACAUGGGCCGGACCCGCUAUCUUGAGACUUCAGCGUGUAUCCUGUUCCUUCCCGGAGACCGAGGCUGGUAUAAACUGCACCCUGUUCCUUCCCGGAGACCGAGGCUGGUGUAAACUGCAUCCUGUUCCUUCCCGGAGACCGAGGCUGGUAUAAACUGCUGAUUGGAGUCAGACUUCAUGACCAAGGUACUUCAAUUCUGAUUAAUCCUGAGAGGGGAAUAGAGGCCAGCCAGGGAAAGUAAUGCCAAGAAAACAAACAAGCUCACAGUGAAUCCUUGUCACCACUCUUCUGAAGAACUUUACAUCACUUCAUAAAGGGAAGUUAGUUGUCCUUCUUGUGUAAAAUGUUUCUCUCUCCCAUUCAAUUAUAUCAUUUCUCUUUCUCUCUCUAUCUCUCUUUGCUUGAUUUUCAUUCUUGUAUCUUUCUCACUCAGUGAGCUGUGAGUCUGGAAGCCUGAUGCCAACCUUCUGCCAAUUAUAACAGAUGACAUUUGAAGGCAUUACAAAUUAUGUUUCCUGCAAUCUGUUUAUUUGUGCUGUUUAUUUUUUUAAACAGUAGUUUGCAAAGCAGUUGCUGUUCAGGCUCAAGAUAUUAUAAUUAACAGGUUUAGAUUGACCUUUGAAAGGGCAUGGACCAUGAGAAUUAUUUUUUCGAACACAUAUUUGAAUGUACUUGGUGUAUUUAAAGGCCUUUGAAUAAAUGUUCACUUCCCCAAA